UACGAAGGGGGCAAGCGUUGUUCGGAUUUACUGGGCGUAAAGGGCGCGCAGGCGGCUCAUUUUGUCAGGCGUGAAAGCCCCGGGCUUAACCUGGGAACUGCGUUUGAUACGGAUGGGCUAGAGUUCGGGAGAGGAGAGUGGAAUUCCCAGUGUAGAGGUGAAAUUCGUAGAUAUUGGGAAGAACACCGGUGGCGAAGGCGGCUCUCUGGACAGUAACUGACGCUGAGGCGCGAAAGCUAGGGGAGCAAACAGG
rnacentral:rRNA from 1 species